rnacentral:rRNA from 1 species
AUUGAACGCUGGCGGCAGGCUUAACACAUGCAAGUCGAGCGGGGUGAUGGUGCUUGCACUAUCACUUAGCGGCGGACGGGUGAGUAAUGCUUAGGAAUCUGCCUAUUAGUGGGGGACAACAUCUCGAAAGGGAUGCUAAUACCGCAUACGUCCUACGGGAGAAAGCAGGGGAUCACUUGUGACCUUGCGCUAAUAGAUGAGCCUAAGUCGGAUCAGCUAGUUGGUGGGGUAAAGGCCUACCAAGGCGACGAUCUGUAGCGGGUCUGAGACGAUGAUCCGCCACACUGGGACUGAGACACGGCCCAGACUCCUACGGGAGGCAGCAGUGGGGAAUAUUGGACAAUGGGGGGAACCCUGAUCCAGCCAUGCCGCGUGUGUGAAGAAGACCUUAUGGUUGUAAAGCACUUUAAGCGAGGAGGAGGCUCUUUUGGUUAAUACCCAAGAUGAGUGGACGUUACUCGCAGAAUAAGCACCGGCUAACUCUGUGCCAGCCGCCGCCGUAA